rnacentral:misc_RNA from 3 species
AACGCACAUUGCGCCUUUUGGUAUUCCGAGAGGCACGCCUGUUCGAGCGUCAGUAAACCCAUCCGUCGUGAAUUUUAUCGUUCGCCGCGGGAAUUGGCGGGGGAUCCGGGACCGCCGCGCUUCGGUGCGGCCGGUCCUUCCCCCGCUUAAACGCGUAGAAAGCUAGCGGGCCACGCCGCGACCGCAAGGACUAGUAAACCACCUGUCGUUCGGAAGCCUAGUGACCGCCCAAUUCCGGCAUCCAAUGCCACACUGACUUUGACCUCGAAUCAGACGAGGAUACCCGCUGAACUUAA